UGGGGAAUAUUGCACAAUGGGCGAAAGCCUGAUGCAGCAACGCCGCGUGAGUGAUGAAGGCCUUCGGGUUGUAAAGCUCUGUCUUUUGGGACGAUAAUGACGGUACCAAAGGAGGAAGCCACGGCUAACUACGUGCCAGCAGCCGCGGUAAUACGUAGGUGGCAAGCGUUGUCCGGAUUUACUGGGCGUAAAGGAUGCGUAGGCGGAUUUUUAAGUGAGAUGUGAAAACCCUAAGCUUAACUUGGGGACUGCAUUUCAUACUGGAAAUCUAGAGUGCGGGAGAGGAGAAUGGAAUUCCUAGUGUAGCGGUGAAAUGCGUAGAGAUUAGGAAGAACACCAGUGGCGAAGGCGAUUCUCUGGACCGUAACUGACGCUGAGGCAUGAAAGCGUGGGUAGCAAACAGGAUUAGAUACCCUGGUAGUCCACGCCGUAAACGAUGAGUACUAGGUGUAGGAGGUAUCGACCCCUUCUGUGCCGCAGUUAACACAAUAAGUACUCCGCCUGGGAAGUACGAUCGCAAGAUUAAAACUUAAAUGAAUUGACGGGGGUCAUAGCUGUUUU
rnacentral:rRNA from 1 species